rnacentral:rRNA from 1 species
AAUCAACGCUGGCGGCGUGCCUAACACAUGCAAGUCGAACGAGAAAGUGGAGCAAUCCAUGAGUACAGUGGCGUACGGGUGAGUAACACGUGACUACCUACCCUCGAGUGGGGAAUAACCUCGGGAAACCGGGGCUAAUACCGCAUAACAUCUACGGAUCAAAUGCGUAAGCAGCUUGAGGAGGGGGUCGCGGCCGAUUAGCUAGUUGGUGAGGUAAUGGCCCACCAAGGCAAUGAUCGGUAGCCGGCCUGAGAGGGCGCACGGCCACACUGGAACUGAAACACGGUCCAGACUCCUACGGGAGGCAGCAGUGGGGAAUUUUGCGCAAUGGGGGAAACCCUGACGCAGCAACGCCGCGUGGAGGAUGAAGCCCCUUGGGGUGUAAACUCCUUUCGAUCGGGACGAUUAU